GAUGAACGCUGGCGGCGUGCCUAAUACAUGCAAGUCGAGCGAACAGAUAAGGAGCUUGCUCCUUUGAAGUUAGCGGCGGACGGGUGAGUAACACGUGGGUAACCUACCUAUAAGACUGGGAUAACUUCGGGAAACCGGAGCUAAUACCGGAUAACAUUUAGAACCGCAUGGUUCUAAAGUGAAAGAUGGUUUUGCUAUCACUUAUAGAUGGACCCGCGCCGUAUUAGCUAGUUGGUAAGGUAACGGCUUACCAAGGCGACGAUACGUAGCCGACCUGAGAGGGUGAUCAGCCACACUGGAACUGAGACACGGUCCAGACUCCUACGGGAGGCAGCAGUAGGGAAUCUUCCGCAAUGGGCGAAAGCCUGACGGAGCAACGCCGCGUGAGUGAUGAAGGGUUUCGGCUCGUAAAACUCUGUUAUUAGGGAAGAACAAAUGUGUAAGUAACUGUGCACAUCUUGACGGUACCUAAUCAGAAAGCCACGGCUAACUACGUG
rnacentral:rRNA from 1 species